UUUCCGUAGGUGAACCUGCGGAAGGAUCAUUAUUGUAUAACCGAGGUGCGAGGGCUGUCGCUGACCCGAAAGGUCGUGCACGCCCGAGUGCCCUCACACACAUCCAUCUCACCCCUUUGUGCAUCACCGCGUGGGCACCCUUCGGGAUCAUCUCGGAGGGGGGCUCGCGUUUUCACACAAACCCCCCUUUUAAAAGUGUAGAAUGACCACAUUUAUGCAAUCAAUACAACUUUCAACAACGGAUCUCUUGGCUCUC
rnacentral:misc_RNA from 1 species